rnacentral:rRNA from 1 species
AAUCAACGCUGGCGGCGUGCCUAACACAUGCAAGUCGCACGAGAAAGGGUCUUCGGAUCUGAGUAAAGUGGCGCACGGGUGAGUAACACGUGAAUUAUCUACCUUCGAGUGGGGAAUAACUUCGGGAAACCGAGGCUAAUACCGCAUAAUAUCUACGGAUCAAAGCAGUAAUGCGCUUGAAGAGGAGUUCGCGGCAGAUUAGUUAGUUGGCGGGGUAAUGGCCCACCAAGACGAUGAUCUGUAUCCGGCCUGAGAGGGCGCACGGACACACUGGAACUGAAACACGGUCCAGACUCCUACGGGAGGCAGCAGUGGGGAAUUUUGCGCAAUGGGGGAAACCCUGACGCAGCAACGCCGCGUGGAGGAUGAAGUCUCUUGGGACGUAAACUCCUUUCGAUAGGGAAGAUUAUGACGGUACCUAUAGAAGAAGCCCCGGCUAACUUCGUGCCAGCCGCCGCGGUAA